rnacentral:rRNA from 1 species
AUGAACGCUGGCGGCGUGCCUAACACAUGCAAGUCGAACGAAGCGCCUGGCCCCGACUUCUUCGGAACGAGGAGCCUUGCGACUGAGUGGCGGACGGGUGAGUAACGCGUGGGCAACCUGCCUUGCACUGGGGGAUAACAGCCAGAAAUGGCUGCUAAUACCGCAUAAGACCGAAGCGCCGCAUGGCGCGGCGGCCAAAGCCCCGGCGGUGCAAGAUGGGCCCGCGUCUGAUUAGGUAGUUGGCGGGGUAACGGCCCACCAAGCCGACGAUCAGUAGCCGACCUGAGAGGGUGACCGGCCACAUUGGGACUGAGACACGGCCCAGACUCCUACGGGAGGCAGCAGUGGGGAAUAUUGCACAAUGGGGGAAACCCUGAUGCAGCGACGCCGCGUGAAGGAUGAAGUAUUUCGGUAUGUAAACUUCUAUCAGCAGGGAAGAAGAUGACGGUACCUGACUAAGAAGCCCCGGCUAAGUACGUGCCACAGCCGCGGUAAUACGUAGGGGGCAGGGGUUAUCCUGAUUUGCUGGGGUGUAAAGGGGAGCGUAGACGGGGGAGGCAAGCAGAUG